GGCGAGUGGCGAACGGGUGAGUAAAGCAUCGGAACGUGCCCAACUGUGGGGGAUAACGCACCGAAAGGUGUGCUAAUACCGCAUAAGCCCUGAGGGGGAAAGCAGGGGAUCUUAGGACCUUGCGCGGAUGGAGCGGCCGAUGUCGGAUUAGCUAGUUGGUGAGGUAAAGGCUCACCAAGGCGACGAUCCGUAGCUGGUCUGAGAGGAUGAUCAGCCACACUGGAACUGAGAGACGGUCCAGACUCCUACGGGAGGCAGCAGUGGGGAAUUUUGGACAAUGGGGGCAACCCUGAUCCAGCCAUGCCGCGUGAGUGAAGAAGGCCUUCGGGUUGUAAAGCUCUUUCGGCCGGGAAGAAACCGAGCAGUCUAAUACACUGUAUGGAUGACGGUACCGGAAUAAGAAGCACCGGCUAACUACGUGCCAGCAGCCGCGGUAAUACGUAGGGUGCGAGCGUUAAUCGGAAUUACUGGGCGUAAAGCGUGCGCAGGCGGUUUUGUAAGACAGGCGUGAAAUCCCCGGGCUCAACCUGGGAAUGGCGCUUGUGACUGCAAGGCUAGAGUACGGCAGAGGGGGGUAGAAUUCCACGUGUAGCAGUGAAAUGCGUAGAGAUGUGGAGGAAUACCGAUGGCGAAGGCAGCCCCCUGGGUCGAUACUGACGCUCAUGCACG
rnacentral:rRNA from 1 species